UGCGCACAAGGAGAUGGCAUUCCUCCUUCAACCGCUGAUCCCAUCGGCUGAUGAUGCCUACGAAGCU
rnacentral:ncRNA from 1 species